GCCUGGCUAGCUCAAUCGGUAGAGCGUGAGACUCUUAUUUAAUCUCAAGGCUGUGGGUUCGAGCCCCACGUCGGGCU
rnacentral:tRNA from 2 species